rnacentral:rRNA from 1 species
CCCUUAGAUGUUCUGGGCUGCACGCGCGCUACACUGAUGCGCUCAACGAGUUUUAACCUUGCCUGGAAAGGUUGGGUAAUCUUUUUAAAACGCAUCGUGAUGGGGAUAGAUUAUUGCAAUUAUUAAUCUUCAACGAGGAAUUCCUAGUAAGCGCGAGUCAUCAGCUCGUGCUGAUUACGUCCCUGCCCUUUGUACACACCGCCCGUCGCUACUACCGAUUGAAUGGUUUAGUGAGGACUCCUGAUUGGCGCCGCCGCCCCGGCAACGGAGCAGCGGACUGCCGAAAAGUUGUUCAAACUUGAUCAUUUAGAGGAAGUAAAAGUCGUAACA